rnacentral:rRNA from 1 species
AUGGCCUCCCUCCUCGCGCCGCCCGCCUCCACGCGCGGCAUCCUGCCGCCUCCCCGGCGGCCGGCCCUGACCCCCCGCGCCGCGCGCUCGUGCUACCGCUUCCGCACCGACGACGACGGCGUCGUGGACGUGGCCGUCGCCGCGGGGGAGGGCGGCGGGUACACGGUCGGCGUCGAGGUCCCGCCCCUGCCGGGCGCGCGCCGGCGGGAGGGCGGGCUGCUGCUCCGCCCCGCGGGCUCCGCCGAGGCCGUCCCGCUGGACGGCGCCUGCCCCGCGGUCGAGCUCUCGUUCCGCGCGCCCCCCGCGCCGUUCAGCCUCUCGUUCCUGCUCACGGACGGCGAGGGCGCCGAGAUACGGACCCACCGCAGGACGCCCUUCCGCGUGCCGAUCGGCGUCGGGCCGGGCAGCCCCGCGCCGCUCGGCCUGUCCCUCUCGGAGGGCGGGGCCGCCAACUUCGCCCUCUACAGCAGGAGCGCCAAGGGCGUCGUGCUCUGCCUGUACGGCGGCGGCGGCGGCGGCAAGCCCGCUCUGGAGAUCGAGCUCGACCCCUACGUCAACCGGACGGGCAACGUCUGGCACGUCUCGCUGGAGAGCGUGGAGGGGUACGGCAGCUACGGCUUCCGCUGCGGGCUCUUCGGCAUGGGCUACCCACUGUUGGAUCCGUAUGCCAAGGUGAUCGGUGACCUGGUUGCUGCCAAUUCUGUUCAUGUGAAGGGGAUCACUGCGCCGUCUAUGAGCUGCCUCGGAUCGUUGGCGAAUCCACCGAGCUACAGUUGGGGCAGGGACGAGCAGCCACGCUUGCCAUUGGAGAAGCUGGUGGUGUACCGGGCAAAUGUGGCGUUGUUCACCAAGGACAAGUCGAGCGGGCUGCUGGACAAUGUUGCCGGUACUUUCUCCGGGGUGGCUGCAAAGAUACAGCACUUCAGGAGUCUCGGUGUCAAUGCGGUUUUGCUGGAACCAGUGUUCCAAUUCGAUCAGGUGAAGGGCCCUUACUUCCCGUACCAUUUCUUUUCACCAAUGGCCUCGUAUAGCGGUGACGGUUGCAGUGCUUCAGCAAUCACGGCUAUGAAGGAUAUGGUCAAGGCAAUGCACAGAAAUGGAAUAGAGGUCCUCUUGGAGGUUGUUUUUACACAUACUGCUGAAGGAGAAGCAGAUGGUCAGAUGAUAUCGAUCAGUGGCAUUGACAAUUCCUCGUAUUACAUUACUGAUGAGAUUGCUGGGUGCAAAUCGGUUAUACUGAAUUGCAAUUCCCCAGUGACUCAGAAUCUGAUUUUGGACAGCCUCCGCCAUUGGGUGAUUGAUUUCCAUGUUGAUGGGUUUUGCUUCAUCAAUGCCCCUUUCCUGGUCAGGGGUCCACGUGGUGAAUAUCUUUCUCGACCGCCCCUUCUUGAAUCUAUAGCUUUCGACCCGGUUCUUUCCAAGACAAAGAUCAUUGCAGAUCCUUGGUCUCCACUCGACAUAUCUAACGUGCAAUUUCCAUUCCCUCACUGGAAAAGAUGGUCUGAGAUGAACACAAGGUUCUCCAUUGAUGUGCGCAAUUUUUUGAAGGGAGAAGCUCUUAUUGGUGCUCUUGCUACGCGUCUGUGUGGUAGCGGGGACCUAUUUUCCAACAGAGGCCCGGCAUUUUCUUUCAAUUAUGUAUCCAGGAAUUCAGGGCUUACUCUUGUUGAUUUGGUGAGUUUCAGCAAUGGGGAUCUUGCUUCUGAGUCAAGCUGGAAUUGUGGUGAAGAAGGACCGUCCGAGGACAGUGUAGUUCUUCAGAAGAGGCUAAGGCAGAUAAGGAAUUUCAUAUUUAUUCUGUUUGUUUCACUUGGUAUUCCUGUCCUGAACAUGGGGGAUGAAUGCGGGCACUCCUCUGCUGGUUCGGCAUCAUACAAGGACAGAGUUCCUCUAAACUGGAAGGCCUUGAAGACCAGUUUUGUUAAGGAAGUUACUGGAUUCAUUUCAUUUCUAGCUGCACUCAGGAGUCGGCGAGGUGACAUUUUUCAGAGAAGAGAAUUCCUCAAACUGGAAAACAUAAGUUGGCAUGGGAACAAUCUAUCUGAACCACGAUGGGAAGAUCCUACUAGCAAGUUCCUUUGCAUGCACAUAAUCGCAGAAAAUGAUGUUAAUACACCAGAGUUAACCAAAGGUAACUUGUACAUAUGUUUCAAUGCAAAUGAGGAACCAGCAAGUGCUACAUUACCUGCUCCUGCAGAAGGAUCUGUGUGGCUACGUUUGGUUGAUACAUCACUUGCGCUUCCAGGUUUCUUUACAACUGAGUCUAAUCUGAAAGUACACAAAGUGCUAGGAUAUUCAUCUUAUGAAGUAAAAGCGCACAGUUGUGUUUUAUUUGAAUCAAAGAGGGAUCUCCCCCAGUUUCUCUGA